rnacentral:rRNA from 1 species
AGCGAACGCUAGCGGAUGGCUUAACACAUGCAAGUCGAGCGGGCAGCUUCGGCUGUCUAGCAGCGAACGGGUGCGUAACACGUGGGUAAUUUGCCUUCUGGUGGGGGAUAACCCGACGAAAGUCGGGCUAAUACCGCAUAUGGCCUACGGGUCAAAGCAGCAAUGCGCCAGUUGAUGAGCCCGCGGCCCAUUAUUUAAUCCUAGUUGGCGGGGUAACGGCCCACCAAGGGUACGAUGGGUAGCUGGUCUGAGAGGACGAUCAGCCACACUGGGACUGAGACACGGCCCAGACUCCUACGGGAGGCAGCAGUAGGGAAUAUUGGACAAUGGGGGGAACCCGUGAUCCAGCCAUGCCGCGUGAGGGAAGAAGGUCCUCUGGAUUGUAAACCUCUUUUGGCAGGAAACAAACCUGCGCUAUACGCGCAGCUGAGGGUACCUGCAGAAUAAGCACCGGCUAACUCCGUG